rnacentral:rRNA from 1 species
UUUCGGUGCAAGAUGAGCUCGCGGCCUAUCAGCUUGUUGGUGGGGUAAUGGCCUACCAAGGCGUCGACGGGUAGCCGGCCUGAGAGGGUGUACGGCCACAUUGGGACUGAGAUACGGCCCAGACUCCUACGGGAGGCAGCAGUGGGGAAUAUUGCACAAUGGGCGGAAGCCUGAUGCAGCGACGCCGCGUGGGGGAUGAAGGCCUUCGGGUUGUAAACUCCUUUCGACAGGGACGAAGCGUAAGUGACGGUACCUGUAUAAGAAGCACCGGCUAACUACGUGCCAGCAGCCGCGGUAAUACGUAGGGUGCGAGCGUUGUCCGGAAUUACUGGGCGUAAAGAGCUCGUAGGUGGUUUGUCGCGUCGUCUGUGAAAUUCCGGGGCUUAACUCCGGGCGUGCAGGCGAUACGGGCUGACUUGAGUGCUGUAGGGGAGACUGGAAUUCCUGGUGUAGCGGUGAAAUGCGCAGAUAUCAGGAGGAACACCGAUGGCGAAGGCAGGUCUCUGGGCAGUAACUGACGCUGAGGAGCGAAAGCAUGGGUAGCGAACAGGAUUAGAUACCCUGGUAGUCCAUGCCGUAAACGGUGGGCGCUAGGUGUAGGGGGCUUCCACGUCUUCUGUGCCGUAGCUAACGCAUUAAGCGCCCCGCCUGGGGAGUACGGCCGCAAGGCUAAAACUCAAAGGAAUUGACGGGGGCCCGCACAAGCGGCGGAGCAUGUGGAUUAAUUCGAUGCAACGCGAAGAACCUUACCUGGGCUUGACAUAUACAAGACAGGCGUAGAGAUACGUCCUCCCUUGUGGUUUGUAUACAGGUGGUGCAUGGUUGUCGUCAGCUCGUGUCGUGAGAUGUUGGGUUAAGUCCCGCAACGAGCGCAACCCUUGUCUUAUGUUGCCAGCAUUUGGUUGGGGACUCAUGAGAGACUGCCGGGGUCAACUCGGAGGAAGGUGGGGAUGACGUCAAAUCAUCAUGCCCCUUAUGUCCAGGGCUUCACACAUGCUACAAUGGUCGGUACAACGCGCAGCGACACUGUGAGGUGGAGCGAAUCGCUGAAAGCCGGCCUUAGUUCGGAUUGGGGUCUGCAACUCGACCCCAUGAAGUCGGAGUCGCUAGUAAUCGCAGAUCAGCAACGCUGCGGUGAAUACGUUCCCGGGCCUUGUACACACCGCCCGUCACGUCAUGAAAGUUGGUAACACCCGAAGCCAGUGGCUCAAACUCG